CUACGGGUGGCUCCAGUGAGGAAUAUUGCACAAUGGGGGGAACCCUGAUGCAGCAACGCCGCGUGGAGGAUGACGCAUUUCGGUGUGUAAACUCCUUUUAUAUGUCAAGAAAAUGACGGUAGCAUAUGAAUAAGCACCGGCUAACUCCGUGCCAGCAGCCGCGGUAAUACGGAGGGUGCAAGCGUUACUCGGAAUCACUGGGCGUAAAGGACGCGUAGGCGGGUUGGAAAGUCAGGUGUGAAAUCCUACAGCUUAACUGUAGAACUGCACUUGAAACUUCUAAUCUAGAGGAUGGGAGGGGGAGAUGGAAUUAGUGGUGUAGGGGUAAAAUCCGUAGAUAUCACUAGGAAUACCUAAAGCGAAGGCGAUCUCCUGGAACAUUACUGACGCUAAGGCGUGAAAGCGUGGGGAGCAAACAGGAUUAGAUACCCCGGUAGUC
rnacentral:rRNA from 1 species